rnacentral:lncRNA from 1 species
AAGGAAGUGGAGAUGGCGGGUGGAAAGCGUGGGGAGCGAGAAGCCGUGCGGGAGUGGCGAAGAAACACCGUGGCGAUUCGAAACAUUUUGAAAAGUGGGGACAAGUUAGGUUUUCGUUGUCUUGUGAUUAAAAAGAUGAGUGUGAAAAGUUGAGUGUUACCUUAUAUAGAGACAGAGAGCUAGGUCAACAAGUGGGAUGCUCACUAGGAUUGUGGGCUGAGCCAUGGAGCAAUGAUUGUGGGCUGGACUGUUUCUCAAGGACGCAUCAAACUCGCCAGAUUGUGGGCUGGGCCAUGAAGCAAUGAUUGUGAGCUGGGCUGCUUCUCAAGGACGCAUCAAACUCGCCAGAUUGUGGGUUGGGCAAUGGAGAAUUGAUUGUGGGCUGGGCUGCUUCUCACGGACGCAUCAAACUUGCCAGAUUGUGGGCUGGGCCAUCAAAUGAUGGGCCAUUGGACUUCUUGGUGGAUCGCGGGUCAUAGGAGUAGCUUGGCGGAUCGCGGAUCAUCAUAGGAGCAGAUUGGAGAGCAAAAGAAUCAUAUAGACACAAAGGAAAAUAAAACAAGAACAACUCAAAUUCAAAAAAAAAAACAAAAAAAAAGGUAGAAAGGGAGAGCUGCGGAGGGGAAAUCGGGAAAAGAGUGGGGUGAAAUGGGAAGGGAAGGAAGUUGGGCGCGGUGAAAGGGGUGGAAAGGGAGAGUUGCGGAGGGGAAGUCGAGGAAAGGAUGGGGUGAAAUGGGAAGGGAAGGAAGUUGGGCGCAGUGAAAGAGGUGAAAAGGGAGAGCUGCGGAGGGGAAUUCGAGGAAAGAGUGGGGUGAAAUGGGAAGGAAAGGAAGUUGAACGCGGUGAAAGAGGUAGAAAGGGAGAGCUGCGGAGGAGAAAUCGAGGAAAGGGUGGGGUGAAAUGGGAAGGGAAGGAAAUUGAGCGCGGUGAAAGGGGUGGAAAGGGAGAGUUGCGGAGGGGAAGUCGGGGAAAGGGUGGGGUGAAAUGGGAAGGGAAGGAAGUGGAGCGCGGUGAAAGGGGUGGAAAGGGAGAGCUGCGGAGGGGAAAUCGGGGAAAUGGUGGGGUGAAAUGGGAAGGGAAGGAAGUUGAGCGCGGUGAAAGGGGUGGAAAGGAAGAGUUGCGGAGGGGAAGUCGGAGAAAGGGUGGGGUGAAAUGGGAAAGGAAGGAAGUGGAGCGCGGUGAAAGAGGUGGAAAGGGAGAGCUGCGGAGGGGAAAUCGAGGAAAGGGUGGGAUGAAAUGGGAAGGGAAGAAAGUUGAGCGCGAUGAAAGGAGUAGAAAGGGAGAACUGCGGAGGAGAAAUCGGGGAAAAGGUGGGGUGAAAUGGGAAGGGAAAGAAAUUGAGCGCGGUGAAAGGGGUGGAAAGGGAGAGUUGCGGAGGGGAAGUCGGGGAAAGGUUGGGGUGAAAUCGGAAGGGAAGGAAGUUGAGCGCGGUGAAAGGGGUGGAAAGGGAAAGCUGCGGAGGGGAAGUCCGGGAAAGGGUGGGGUGAAAUUGGAAGGGAAGGAAGUUGAGCGCAGUGAAAGGGGUGGAAAAGGAGAACUGCGGAGGGGAAGUCCGGGAAAGGGUGGGGUGAAACGGGAAGGGAAGGAAGUGGAGCGCGGUGAAAGGGAUGAAAAGGGAGAGCUGCGGAGAGGAAGUCCGGGAAAGGGUGGGGUGAAAUGGGAAGGGAAGGAAGUUGAGCGCAGUGAAAGGGGUGGAAAGGGAGAGUUGCGGAAGGGAAGUCGGAGAAAGGGUGGGGUGAAAUGGGAAGAGAAGGAAGUGGAGCGCGGUGAAAGGGAUGGAAAGAGAGAGCUGCGGAGGGGUAGUCGGAGAAAGGGUGGGGUGAAAUGGGAAGGAAAGGAAGUGGAGUGCGGUGAAAGAGGUGGAAAGGGAGAGCUGCGGAUGGGAAAUCGGGGAAAGGUUGGGGUGAAAUGGGAAGGGAAGGAAGUUGAGCGCGGUGAAAGGGGUGGAAAGGGAGAGUUGCGGAGGGGAAGUCGGAGAAAGGGUGGGGUGAAAUGGGAUGUGAAGGAAGUGGAGAUGGCGGGUGGAAAGCGUGGGGAGCGAGAAGCCGUGCGGGAGUGGCGAAGAAACACCGUGGCGAUUCGAAACAUUUUGAAAAGUGGGGACAAGUUAGGUUUUCGUUGUCUUUUGAUUAAAAAGAUGAGUGUGAAAAGUUGAGUGUUACCUUAUAUAGAGGCAGAGAGCUAGUUCAACAAGUGGGAUGCUCACUAGGAUUGUGGGCUGAGCCAUGGAGCAAUGAAUGUGGUCUGGGCUGCUUCUCAAGGACGCAUCAAACUCGCCAGAUUGUGGGCUGGGCCAUGAAGCAAUGAUUGUGAGCUGGGCUGCUUCUCAAGGACGCAUCAAACUCGCCAGAUUGUGGGUUGGGCAAUGGAGAAUUGAUUGUGGGCUGGGCUGCUUCUCACGGACGCAUCAAACUUGCCAGAUUGUGGGCUGGGCCAUCAAAUGAUGGCCCAUUGGGCUUCUUGGUGGAUCGCGGGUCAUAGGAGUAGGGUCAUAGGAGUUGCUUUGCGGAUCGCGGAUCAUCAUAGGAGCAGAUUGGGGAGCAAAAGAAUCAUAUAGACGCAAAGGAAAAUAAAACAAGAACAACUCAAAUUCAAAAAAAAAAACAAAAAAAGAGGUGGAAAGGGAAAGCUGCGGAGGGGAAAUCGGGGAAAGGGUGGGGUGAAAUCGGAAGAGAAGGAAGUUGGGCGCGGUGAAAGGGGUGGAAAGGGAGAGUUGCGGAGGGGAAGUCGGGGAAAGGGUGGGGUGAAAUGGGAAGGGAAGGAAGUGGAGCGCGGUGAAAGGGGUGGAAAGGGAGAGCUGCGGAGGGAAAAUCGGGGAAAUGACAGGGUGAAAUUGGAAGGGAAGGAAGUUGAGCGCAGUGAAAGGGGUGGAAAGGAAGAGUUGCGGAGGGGAAGUCGGGGAAAAGGUGGGGUGAAAUGAGAAGGGAAGGAAGUGGAGCGCGGUGAAAGGGGUGGAAAAGGAGAGUUGCGGAGGAGAAGUCGGGGAAAUGGUGGGGUGAAAUGGGAAGGAAAGGAAGUGGAGCGCGGUGAAAGGGGUGGAAAGGGAGAGUUGCGGAGGGGAAGUCGGGGAAAAGGUGGGGUGAAAUGGAAAGGGAAGGAAGUGGAGCGCGGUGAAAGGGGUGGAAAGGGAGAGCUGCGGAGGGGAAAUCGGGGAAUGGCGGGGUGAAAUGGGAAGGGAUAGAAGUUGAGCACAGUGAAAGGGGUGGAUAGGAAGAGUUGCGGAGGGGAAGUCGGGGAAAGGGUGGGGUGAAAUGAGAAGGGAAGAAAGUGGAGCGCGGUGAAAGGGGUGGAAAAGGAGAGUUGCAGAGGAGAAGUCAGGGAAAGGGUGGGGUGAAAUGGGAAGGAAAGGAAGUGGAGCGCGGUGAAAGGGGUGGAAAGGGAGAGCUGCGGAGGGGUAGUCGGAGAAAGGGUGGGGUGAAAUGGGAAGGAAAGGAAGUGGAGUGCGGUGAAAGGGGUGGAGAGGGAGAGCUACGGAGGAGAAAUCGGGGAAAUGGUGGGGUGAAAUGGGAAGGGAAGGAAGUUGAGCGCAGUGAAAGGGGUGGAAAGGGAGAGUUGCGGAGGGGAAGUCGGGGAAAGAGUGGGGUGAAAUGGGAAGGGAAGGAAGUGGAGCGCGGUGAAAGGAGUGGAAAGGGAGAGCUGCGGAGGGGAAAUUGGGGAAAUGGUGGGGUGAAAUGGGAAGGGAAGGAAGUUGAGCGCGGUGAAAGGGGUGGAAAGGAAGAGUUGCGGAGGGGAAGUCGGAGAAAGGGUGGGGUGAAAUGAGAAGGCUAGGAAGUGGAGCGCGGUGAAAGGGGUGGAAAAGGAGAGUUGCGGAGGAGAAGUCCGGGAAAGGGUGGGGUUAAAUGGGAAGGGAAGGAAGUGGAGCGCGGUGAAAGGGGUGGAAAGGGAGAGCUGCGGAGGGGAAAUCGGGGAAAGGGUGGGGUGAAAUGGGAAGGGAAGGAAGUGGAGAUGGCGGGUGGAAAGCGUGGGGAGCGAGAAGCCGUGCGGGAGUGGCGAAGAAACACCGUGGCGAUUCGAAACAUUUUGAAAAGUGGGGACAAGUUAGGUUUUCGUUGUCUUGUGAUUAAAAAGAUGAGUGUGAAAAGUUGAGUGUGAAAAGUUGAGUGUUACCUUAUAUAGAGACAGAGAGCUAGGUCAACAAGUGGGAUGCUCACUAGGAUUGUGGGCUGAGCCAUGGAGCAAUGAUUGUGGGCUGGACUGCUUCUCAAGGACGCAUCAAACUCACCAGAUUGUGGGCUGGGCCAUGAAGCAAUGAUUGUGAGCUGGGCUGCUUCUCAAGGAUGCAUCAAACUCGCCAGAUUGUGGGUUGGGCCAUGGAGAAUUGAUUGUGGGCUGGGCUGCUUCUCACGGACG